ACGUCGGAUGUGAAAGNCCCGGGGCUUAACCCCNGGGUCUGCAUUCGAUACGGGCAGGCUAGAGUUCGGUAGGGGAGNAUCGGAAUUCCUGGUGUAGCGGUGAAAUGCGCAGAUAUCAGGAGGAACACCGGUGGCGAAGGCGGAUCUCUGGGCCNAUACUGACGCUGAGGAGCGAAAGCGUGGGGAGCGAACAGGAUUAGAUACCCUGGUAGUCCACGCCGUAAACGGUGGGCACUAGGUGUGGGCAACAUUCCACGUUGUCCGUGCCGCAGCUAACGCAUUAAGUGCCCCGCCUGGGGAGUACGGCCGCAAGGCUAAAACUCAAAGGAAUUGANGGGGGCCCGCACAAGCGGCNGAGCAUGUGGCUUAAUUCGACGCAACGCGAAGAACCUUACCAAGGCUUGACAUACACCGGAAAGCAUUAGAGAUAGUGCCCCCCUUGUGGUCGGUGUACAGGUGGUGCAUGGCUGUCGUCAGCUCGUGUCGUGAGAUGUUGGGUUAAGUCCCGCAACGAGCGCAACCCUUGUCCNGUGUUGCCAGCAGGCCCUUGUGGUGCUGGGGACUCACGGGAGACCGCCGGGGUCAACUCGGAGGAAGGUGGGGACGACGUCAAGUCAUCAUGCCCCUUAUGUCUUGGGCUGCACACGUGCUACAAUGGCCGGUACAAAGAGCUGCGAUACCGCGAGGUGGAGCGAAUCUCAAAAAGCCGGUCUCAGUUUCGGAUUGGGGUCUGCAACUCGACCCCAUGAAGUCGGAGUCGCUAGUAAUCGCAGAUCAGCAUUGCUGCGGUGAAUACGUUCCCG
rnacentral:rRNA from 1 species